UGUCUUCCAGCCUCGGGCAAACCAGUCGUCGAUCCACUGCGUGAUCCCCUGACGGAGGUACCGCGAGUCGGUGUGCAGGUCGACCUGGCAGCGCCCGUACCGGCCAUCCAGGUAGGCCAGCGCCGCGACGGCAGCCUCGAGUUCCAUCUGGUUGUUUGUGGU
rnacentral:rRNA from 1 species